rnacentral:rRNA from 1 species
AUUGAACGCUGGCGGCAUGCCUUACACAUGCAAGUCGAACGGUAACAGGUCUUCGGAUGCUGACGAGUGGCGAACGGGUGAGUAAUACAUCGGAACGUGCCCGAUCGUGGGGGAUAACGGAGCGAAAGCUUUGCUAAUACCGCAUACGAUCUACGGAUGAAAGCAGGGGACCGCAAGGCCUUGCGCGGACGGAGCGGCCGAUGGCAGAUUAGGUAGUUGGUGGGAGAAAAGCUUACCAAGCCGACGAUCUGUAGCUGGUCUGAGAGGACGACCAGCCACUCUGGUACUGAGACCCGGCGCAGACUCCUACGGGAGGAAGCAGUGGGGAAUUUUGGACAAUGGGCGAAAGCCUGAUCCAGCCAUGCCGCGUGCAGGAUGAAGGCCUUCGGGUCGUAAACUGCUUUUGUACGGAACGAAAAGCCUCUUUCUAAUAAAGAGAGGUCAUGACGGUACCGUAAGAAUAAGCACCGGCUAACUACGUGCCAGCCGCCGCGGUAAGAC